UUCUCAUGUUUCAGUCUGUUGGACAAGGCUGAUGGGGGAGAAUUAGGUAUGGAUCAGUAGAUUGCUUGAGUGGAACUCGGAGAGUCUAAUGUGAAGCUUGCUUAAACUGUGUAAGAGGGGAAGCAGAGAAUGCCCUUCUGCAGAGAGAAAGAAGAAUGAGGUAUUGACGUGUUGAUGGGAGAUCUUGUGGUCCUAAAGAAUGUGAAUGCCCCUUAGGAUGCCCAACUGUAUUUCUUUCCCUUGUAUGUCAUGAGAUGUCAACAGUGGGUCCUUAUGAGUCAGGAAGUAAUAAUAGAAGAAGAUUCCUGAACCCAAGGUUCUGAGUGGAAUUGAAUGUGGAUAAAAUAAGACACUCCAAAUAGUAUUAUCAAGUGUUGGCUUCUCCUUCAUCAAAGACAUGGUUGAGCUUUAUGACUGUGCUGAUAAAAUCGCCAAGUUCUACAAAAUCAGCAGUGACAAUAUUGAUGCCACUUUCUCCUGGCUUCUGCGUGCGGACCCAUUGCAUCAUGGCUGGAAGAGCUCUGAGAAGGAAAACAAAAAGAGAAGUCACAGAUGGCAAAAUAUUGACUUUCAAGCUCUACAAUUUUUAAGCUUUCUUUUAGUUUUCUAAUUUACUAAAAUAAAUCUCCCAAAUAUAAGGACAGAUGAGGGAAAAAAGUUAAAUGUACAAUGGUGAAUUCUUAGCCUUUGAGGCCACUCUGCCAGAGCAAACUCUUCAUCUUUGAAGAUCUCAGAUACUGUGAUAGUUUAUAAUGAAGCUUUUCCACUAAGAAAGCAACAUUUUUGCCUUUGUAUUCUAGCUUGCCUUGCAAAGCUAUGAGGUGGUAAGCUAAGAGAUGAAUACAUAUAAUUGAAGCAAACAUUUACUGUAAAAGCAUUAUUUUCAGAAAAUGUAUUAAGAUGUUAUAAAUAGACAAAACAGCAAACACCCCCACCUUCAAGAAGUUCACAGUUUGGUGGCAGACAGGUAGACAAUGAAGAAAAUUGUAAUAUAGUACCAUCAGUGCUGUUUCCUUCAAUUCCAUAACCCAGCACCAUGUUCCAGUCCUGAUUAUAGGAACUUGGAACAUUCAGAAGAACAAAACCAAAAAAUAUCUGCUCUUAUGAGCUUACAUUCUCAAAAAGAGAAACAGAAAGUAAACGAUAAUCAUAAAUAAAUUAUAAAUCGGGACCAGAAGGAAUAAUUAGAACUACAAAAAAGGAGCAAAGAAAGGAGGAUUUGGAGUGUGCAGCUGGGGAGGUGUAGUGCAAAUUGCAACUUAAAUUAGGACAGUUCACUAUAUUUACUGCAGCACAAUUCAUAAUAGCUAAGCUAUGGAAACAGCCUAGGUGCACAUUAAAAGAUGAAUGGGUUAAACAAAAAGGUGAGUGGGUAAAGAAAAUGUCAUGCAUACAGAUAUUUAUACAUAUGCAUAUACAUUUAUUUCAGGUAUGAAGAAGAAUGAUAUAUUGUUAGAAUAGAUGAAACUGGAGAGCCUUAUGCUGCAUGGAAUGUUGUCAGACUCAGAAAAUAAAUAUCACAUGUUUUCUCUCAAAUGAGAAAUACUGAAAAAUAUUUUAAAAAUUUAAAAAUAGAGAUUAUAUAAAAGUAGAAAGGAAAUUAUUAGAAACUAUUAGAAAAGAAGAGGGGAGUGGGGAGGGUGAGAAUGUUACAUGUGUGUAUGAACAUACUAAAAUAAAACCCACCCAUCUUCAUAACUAAUAUGCAUGAAUAAAAAAUAGAGUGAUUUAGUAGAACUCACUGAUAAGUGGAUAUUUGUGGAAACAUUUGACAUUGAAGGGGGAUGGAGACACAUAGACCAAGAAACAGAAAAGAAGGCUACAAGUACUCAUGGGUCUACAACUAACUGACUUUCAAGAAAGGUACUAAAGAUGAGUAUUGGAUAAAGGAAAGCCUUUCAAUAAAUGGUGCUGGGGAAACUGGAUAUCCACAUGUAGACGAAUGAAUUUCUGUUUCUGUCUCCCAACCAGUUACAAAUAUUACAUAAAAUUGAUUAAAGACCUAAAUGUAAGACUUGCAAUAAGAAACUAGAAGACUUUUGUAGGACAAGCACUUCAAGAUAUUAAAACAGACAAUUUUUGGAAAUGAUA